AAAACAGUAAGUUAAGAAAACUAUUGGCCUUCAAAGCCGAAAAUGAUUAUUUCCUGUUUUG
rnacentral:tRNA from 1 species